rnacentral:rRNA from 1 species
GUGUCAGCCGCCGCGGUAAUACGGAGGGGGCGAGCGUUGUUCGGAAUCACUGGGUGUAAAGGGUGCGUAGGCGGUGCGUUAAGUCUGAUGUGAAAGCCCUGGGCUCAACUCAGGAAUUGCAUUGGAAACUGGCGUGCUGGAGUACGGGAGAGGGAAGCGGAAUUCCUGGUGUAGCGGUGAAAUGCGUAGAUACCAGGAGGAACACCGGUGGCGAAGGCGGUUUCCUGGCCCAGUACUGACGCUGAGGCACGAAAGCGUGGGGAGCGAACGGGAUUAGAUACCCCGGUAGUCC